CGCGUCCGUUUCACCGAGAAGUAACAUACGCAAAUCGCUUACUUUACCAGAUGCAUUUUAUUGGUCAAGUGAGUAUCAAAGCACAUGAAACUCCAUUGAAGUGACGAUGACAUUGACGAUGGUGAUAACAAUGACGGUGACAAUUACAAUGACGCUGACGGUCAAAAGAGAGUUUUUCCCCAUGCUCACCCUGCAGCCAUGCUCCAAACAACCACACCCCACAGAUGGCCCGUGCAAAGUCAUGCCACCAGUCUGAGGACAUCACUGGGAAUGGCACAUGGGACACGUGGCUUUCAACUCCAGCGAGGUGGGCUUCACCGCGGGCAAUCGUGGCAAAGACCCAAGUCGACUGGACCACAGCGGAAAAUGAUCCUUCCAGAGAAGAAGUUAUUUACUUCUACAACGAAUGGAAGAGUUACAACUUCCAGAUGACAGCUCUCCGCUCAUCCUUCUGGGCAACUUGAACAUCCGACAGAACUUAUGUGACCUACUGCGUUUAUUUUCUCCUUUAGCUCUCAUUUAAGUAUUAAAAUUCGCUGUAUUUUUGCAAGAGAGGCACCAAUCCUAUUUGAGUGACGUUUCGAAUGUGAAAUUGUAUUGGACCAUAUAGGUCAUCUGCAGAGCGUUGGCCCCUGGCGCAGUAAACCAGGGUUUGAUUCUUGGCAUGCACAAGACUCCUCAUGUGACUUAAAAUGAAUCCAGAAUGCAAUAUUUGUUCAGUAUGCAAGGGCAGUGAUUUAUUUAGUCAUGUUUGGUCAUGUUUUGGUUUUUUUACAUGACAAUAUGGUUUGGUACAUGCUGAGUUAAUGAAUAUACAUUCUAAAGUGCAAUGUCCAUAUGUGAAUAAGAGUUGUAUACGUUUAUCAUAGUCAACAUGGUGUGGAAAUAUCCCUUAUGUAGUUGGUCAAUGGGAACUAUAGUAGGCAGUAAUAACAGCUAAGGUAAUUACAGGUGGAUAUUUCUGGGAAUUAACCUUGAUUGAGACUGCAUCUAUGAUAUCUAAGAUAUACAGGACAAGAAAAAUGCACUGGAUGUGUAUAUGUGUUGAAUCAAUUAUACAGACGCAAACUGGAGAACGAGACAAGUGUUGCUGUGAUACUUAUUGUGGUCAUCGUGCCCGAGACCCGUAACAAUUACUCCGCAGGUCUUUUGCAGCGGGGCAACAGCCCGGCGUCGGUGGAUUCCGUUCGCGAGGCCGCAGAUUCAGGUUUGAAUGGCAGCCCCGAGAGUGAUUUGUUUAGUCUCUUUAGUCUUUUUUGACCCGCGAGCCCGGCCGACCGCCGCCCCACCCCAACGUGCGAGAAUAGGCGAAGGCCCGUUCAUCGCUGCUUGCAGC